GGUUAAGCGACUAAGCGUACACGGUGGAUGCCCUGGCAGUCAGAGGCGAUGAAGGACGUGCUAAUCUGCGAUAAGCGUCGGUAAGGUGAUAUGAACCGUUAUAACCGGCGAUUUCCGAAUGGGGAAACCCAGUGCAAUUCGUUGCACUAUCGUUAAGUGAAUACAUAGCUUAACGAAGCGAACCGGGGGAACUGAAACAUCUAAGUACCCCGAGGAAAAGAAAUCAACCGAGAUUCCCCCAGUAGCGGCGAGCGAACGGGGAGCAGCCCAGAGUCUGAAUCAGCAUGUGUGUUAGUGGAAGCGUCUGGAAAGUCGCACGAUACAGGGUGAAAGUCCCGUACACCAAAAUGCACAUGUUGUGAACUCGAAGAGUAGGGCGGGACACGUGGUAUCCUGUCUGAAUAUGGGGGGACCAUCCUCCAAGGCUAAAUACUCCUGACUGACCGAUAGUGAACCAGUACCGUGAGGGAAAGGCGAAAAGAACCCCGGCGAGGGGAGUGAAAAAGAACCUGAAACCGUGUACGUACAAGCAGUGGGAGCCUCUUUAUGGGGUGACUGCGUACCUUUUGUAUAAUGGGUCAGCGACUUAUAUUCUGUAGCAAGGUUAACCGAAUAGGGGAGCCGAAGGGAAACCGAGUCUUAACUGGGCGUUAAGUUGCAGGGUAUAGACCCGAAACCCGGUGAUCUAGCCAUGGGCAGGUUGAAGGUUGGGUAACACUAACUGGAGGACCGAACCGACUAAUGUUGAAAAAUUAGCGGAUGACCUGUGGCUGGGGGUGAAAGGCCAAUCAAACCGGGAGAUAGCUGGUUCUCCCCGAAAGCUAUUUAGGUAGCGCCUCGUGAAUUCAUCUUCGGGGGUAGAGCACUGUUUCGGCUAGGGGGUCAUCCCGACUUACCAACCCGAUGCAAACUACGAAUACCGAAGAAUGUUAUCACGGGAGACACACGGCGGGUGCUAACGUCCGUCGUGAAGAGGGAAACAACCCAGACCGCCAGCUAAGGUCCCAAAGUCACAGUUAAGUGGGAAACGAUGUGGGAAGGCUCAGACAGCCAGGAUGUUGGCUUAGAAGCAGCCAUCAUUUAAAGAAAGCGUAAUAGCUCACUGGUCGAGUCGGCCUGCGCGGAAGAUGUAACGGGGCUAAACUGUGCACCGAAGCUGCGGCAGCGACACUAUGUGUUGUUGGGUAGGGGAGCGUUCUGUAAGCCGUUGAAGGUGUGUCGUGAGGCAUGCUGGAGGUAUCAGAAGUGCGAAUGCUGACAUAAGUAACGAUAAAGCGGGUGAAAAACCCGCUCGCCGGAAGACCAAGGGUUCCUGUCCAACGUUAAUCGGGGCAGGGUGAGUCGACCCCUAAGGCGAGGCCGAAAGGCGUAGUCGAUGGGAAACAGGUUAAUAUUCCUGUACUUGGUGUUACUGCGAAGGGGGGACGGAGAAGGCUAUGUUGGCCGGGCGACGGUUGUCCCGGUUUAAGCGUGUAGGUUUGCAGACCAGGUAAAUCCGGUCUGCUUCAAGACUGAGACGUGAUGACGAGGCACUACGGUGCUGAAGUAACAAAUGCCCUGCUUCCAGGAAAAGCCUCUAAGCAUCAGGUAACACGAAAUCGUACCCCAAACCGACACAGGUGGUCAGGUAGAGAAUACCAAGGCGCUUGAGAGAACUCGGGUGAAGGAACUAGGCAAAAUGGUGCCGUAACUUCGGGAGAAGGCACGCUGAUACGUAGGUGAAGCGGUUUACCCGUGGAGCUGAAAUCAGUCGAAGAUACCAGCUGGCUGCAACUGUUUAUUAAAAACACAGCACUGUGCAAACACGAAAGUGGACGUAUACGGUGUGACGCCUGCCCGGUGCCGGAAGGUUAAUUGAUGGGGUUAGCGCAAGCGAAGCUC
rnacentral:rRNA from 1 species